ACUAAACGCGUAUCAGAUUAGUAAAAUUUCUAAUUCACUGACAUCUGUUGGACAUAGAUACUCAAAUUGCAGAAUCUUAUUAGUAAUAAAAAAAAAUCUGUGUUUUCUGUGACAUCAUUUUGAAAAAUAUAUGUUUAUAUUUUAUUUAUUACACUCUAACUGUCUAACAUUUAAUUCUCCUCUGAUUAGAAUUUAGAGUAAUUAUCGUUUGUCAAUUUUCCAAACUUCCCAUGCCCCCCUCAGCAGAGUUAUUUAAUUCUGAAUGAAACAAAAUGUGAAUGAGUUAUAAAUAAUAUAUAAAUGAUUGAAUAUUCUUUAUUUAGUUUUUCUUUAUUCUCAAUUCUUCCAGAGACAUGCCAGUAUAUGCUCUGAGAAUAAUGUCUUUGCAUGAUUCUUCAUAAUUAAGUAUACUCAAUUAUUCUCUAUGAUCCUUCUUUCUAUAUUUUUGCUUUUCAACUAUCUAUAUAUUUUUUUUGUGUCCUUAUUUAAAUCAACAUUCUUGAUUCCAGACUAACUCUCAUAUAUAUACGUAAAUGUACGAAAGCUUGGCACGUCGAAUACGGAAACCCGGAAAUCUUUUCACCGUUGUCGUUUUUAUACUAUGACGCAAAAUCCAUGGACGCUCGUCUGCUGCUGAAUUCAUGUUUUAAAAGAAUGGACAAAGAUAGUCAGAUAGUUGAUACAAAGACCUUUGAUUUUUCAAACUGAUGGAUCAAAAAGUUAUUAUAAACAGAUAUAUUGAAAUGGGUUAGUAACUUACAUUGUCGAUUAACUGAAUCCGGGGAACGAAAGUCAACGCAACGAAAGUGUUUCGUUUUGAUGGAUUACGUACCAACUUAUUGUACUUGGAAAGCGCAAUGAAAUCCGACUCAAAAUCAUGCUGUUAAUUAGGGCCCCCUGUUGUACAUGUACUUAGGAAUCGGACACUUCCAGAAGAUGAAAGAUCUACUUUACAUCUGUACAUUGUAUUACAACAAAUGGACAGAGGAGUUGACUAUUGAUAGUGACUGAUAAUGGACUGGAGUAACCUAGGGUCCAAUGACUCCAUGCCUGACAGUCCAUGUGUACAUAAUUAUCUCCUCAGAUGUAAGUGGAAGGGAAGCUAUAUACAUUAUAUGUUUAAAUGAAAUUAACAACAGGAUUAGAUAUUGAGGAGAUCCUAUAGCUACAGUAUAUAUAAAUGUAACUGCAACUGUAUUCCAAGAGUCUGAUGGCUGAUAAUGUAUUACAGGAUUUUAUCAUUCAAGCAACAUCUUAGAAGGAUAAGUGCAAAUGUAUGAAGGAAGCCUUGGGUACAAAUAGCAAUUACAGCAAUUACAUGCAGGAGAGAACUCUUAACAUUACUAACAGACAUGUAGUCAUUAUAUGGGAGUGGUGUAUUCAAGAAAUCUAAAACACAUGGAAUUAAAUAUCGUGUAUAUUUUUUUAACCACAAGUACUCUCAGAAUAUAAUACAAUUCAAAUUCAAAUUAUUGUGCCAACAUGACAAUUACAGUCUAAAAAUGGAAAAUGCAUGUUUUAAACUGAUUUUUAUAUAAAUAUUUGAAAUAACAAGAA